CUGGAAUUGUACCCAGGUCCCUGACUCCAGCUGUACUGAUGAGUUUAUUCCUGGCAGCUGGGAGAUCAAAUUAAGUGAGUGAUACCCAACACAUAUGAAGUGAUAAAGUUUGAGAACUACACUGCAGUAGAACUGCCCAAACUGGAUCCA